rnacentral:rRNA from 1 species
UACGAAGGGGGCUAGCGUUGUUCGGAAUCACUGGGCGUAAAGCGCACGUAGGCGGAUUUUUAAGUCAGGGGUGAAAUCCCGAGGCUCAACCUCGGAACUGCCUUUGAUACUGGGGAUCUGGAGUCCGGGAGAGGUGAGCGGAACUGCGAGUGUAGAGGUGAAAUUCGUAGAUAUCGGGAGGAACACCAGUGGCGAAGGCGGCUAUCUGGGCUGCAACUGACGCUGAGGCGCGAAGGCUAGGGUAGCAAACAGG